UACGUAGGGGGCGAGCGUUGUCCGGAUUAUUGGGCGUAAAGGGCUCGUAGGCGGUUUGUCGCGUCGGGAGUGAAAUCCACUGGCUUAACUGGUGGCUUGCUUUCGAUACGGGCAGACUGGAGGUAUGCAGGGGAGAACGGAAUUCCUGGUGUAGCGGUGAAAUGCGCAGAUAUCAGGAGGAACACCGAUGGCGAAGGCAGGUCUCUGGGCCACUACUGACGCUGAGGAGCGAAAGCGUGGGGAGCAAACAGG
rnacentral:rRNA from 1 species